AGGCCUAAAGAGCCACCUAGUGAUGACACAUGCAAAGGACUCUAUCUUUCGUCAGUAGCUUCAUUGGCACAGAGAUUGCUGAGUGAUGCUGAAUGAAAGCUGGGGAUUCCUGCAGACCUGAACUGCUACAAAAUGGGCAUGGCAGUCUUGGAAUUCAUGCGCUGAAGGUGGA